rnacentral:rRNA from 1 species
UUCUGUACUUAAUUGUAUGGAAUAUCACCUAGCCAGUGGGACUUUGGUAGAAUAAUGCCUUUUUAAUACCAGAGUGUAAAAACUUGAAGUGUUAAAUUGGGAUCACAUUAUUUUAUUGAAGUGGGGUUCUAGUUAUUUACUUGAGUAAAUUAGAGUGUUCAAAGCAGCCUCUUGGGGGCUUUGAAUAGAUUUAGCAUGGGGAUAAUAGAAUAGGAUUUGAUAAUCUAUUUGUUGGUUUGAAUUAAUCAAAUAAUGAUUAAUAGGGGACAGUUGGGGGGCAUUCAUAUUAAGUGGUUAGCGGUGAAAUGUGUGGACCCACUUAAGAUGAACUAAAGCGAAAGCAUUUGCCAAGGAUGUUUUCAUUAAUCAAGAACGAAAGUUAAGGGGAUCGAAGACGAUUAGAUACCGUCGUAGUCUUGACUGUAAACUAUGCCGACCAG